GUGUCAGCAGCCGCGGUAAUACGGAGGGUGCAAGCGUUAAUCGGAUUCAUUGGGCGUAAAGGGCGCGUAGGCGGCCUGGAAAGUCGGUUGUGAAAUCCCGGGUCUCAACCCCGGAACGGCACUCGAAACUCCCAGACUAGAGGGUAGGCGGAGAAAACGGAAUUCCACAAGUAGCGGUGAAAUGCGUAGAUAUGUGGAAGAACACCGGUGGCGAAAGCGGUUUUCUAGCUUAUUCCUGACGCUGAGGCGCGAAAGCAAGGGGAUCAAACAGGAUUAGAUACCCUUGUAGUCC
rnacentral:rRNA from 1 species